AGAAAAAAAAGAAAGAAAGAAAGAAAGAAAGAAAGAAAGAAAGAAAGGAAGGAAGGAAGGAAGGAAGGAAAAAGGGAAGAAAGAAAGAAAGAAAGGAAGGAAGGAAGGAAAGAAAGAAAGAAAGAAAGAACAGAAAGAAAGAAAGAAAGAAAGAAAGAAAGAAAGAAAGGAAGGAAGGAAGGAAGGAAGGAAGGAAGGAAGGAAGGAAGGAAG
rnacentral:lncRNA from 1 species